rnacentral:rRNA from 1 species
UACAGAGGUCUCGAGCGUUGUUCGGAUUCAUUGGGCGUAAAGGGCGCGUAGGCGGCGGGGUAAGUCUGGUGUGAAAUCUCGGAAGCUCAACUCCGAAAUUGCACUGGAUACUGCUCUGCUAGAGGCUGGAGAGGAGAUCGGAAUUCACGGUGUAGCAGUGAAAUGCGUAGAUAUCGUGAGGAAGACCAGUGGCGAAGGCGGAGUCUCUGGACGCUCCUGACGCUGAGGCGCGAAGGCGUAGGGGAGC